GAAAUACUAGUUAAAUAAUAAUAAUAGUGUCUUGUCAAGACAUAGUUACCAAA
rnacentral:tRNA from 1 species